AAUCAACGCUGGCGGCGUGCCUCAGACAUGCAAGUCGAACGCGAAAGGUUCCUUCGGGAACCGAGUAGAGUGGCGCACGGGUGAGUAACACGUAGGUAAUUUGCCUUUGGGUGGGGAAUAACAGCCGGAAACGGCUGCUAAUACCGCAUAAUGCAGCGGCUCGACAUCGAGACAGUUGUUAAAGCGGGGGAUCGCAAGACCUCGCGCCUAAAGAGAAGCCUGCGGCAGAUAGCUAGUUGGUAGGGUAAUGGCCUACCAAGGCGACGAUCUGUAACCGGCCUGAGAGGGCGGUCGGUCACACUGACACUGACAUACGGGUCAGACUCCUACGGGAGGCAGCAGUCGGGAAUUUUGGGCAAUGGGCGAAAGCCUGACCCAGCAACGCCGCGUGAAGGAUGAAAUCCCU
rnacentral:rRNA from 1 species